AGCAUGUGGUUUAAUUUCGAUGAUACGCGAGGAACCUUACCUCGGGCUCAAAUGUAUGUUGACGUAUUCUGAAAGGGAUACUUCUUCGGACAAUAUACAAGGUGCUGCAUGGUUUGUCGUCAGCUCGUGCCGUGAGGUGUCGGGUUAAGUCCCAUAACGAGCGCAACCCCUAUCAUUAGUUGCCAUCAGGUCAAGCUGGGGACUCUAAUGAAACUGCCUACGCAAGUAGUGAGGAAGGUGGGGAUGACGUCAAAUCAGCAAGGCCCUUACGGGCUGGGCUACACACGUGCUACAAUGGUGGUGACAGUGGGCAGCGAGCACGCGAGUGUGAGCUAAUCUCCAAAAGCCAUCUCAGUUCGGAUUGCACUCUGCAACUCGAGUGCAUGAAGUUGGAAUCGCUAGUAAUCGCGGAUCAGCAUGCCGCGGUGAAUACGUUCCCGGGCCUU
rnacentral:rRNA from 1 species